GAUCAUGGCUCAGGAUGAACGCUAGCUACAGGCUUAACACAUGCAAGUCGAGGGGAAACGACAUUGGAAGCUUGCUUCCGAUGGGCGUCGACCGGCGCACGGGUGAGUAACGCGUAUCCAACCUGCCCACCACUUGGGGAUAACCUUGCGAAAGUAAGACUAAUACCCGAUGAUAUCCCUAGACGACAUCUGAAAGGGAUUAAAGAUUUAUCGGUGAUGGAUGGGGAUGCGUCUGAUUAGCUUGUUGGCGGGGUAACGGCCCACCAAGGCAACGAUCAGUAGGGGUUCUGAGAGGAAGGUCCCCCACAUUGGAACUGAGACACGGUCCAAACUCCUACGGGAGGCAGCAGUGAGGAAUAUUGGUCAAUGGGCGAGAGCCUGAACCAGCCAAGUAGCGUGCAGGAUGACGGCCCUAUGGGUUGUAAACUGCUUUAUAAGGGAAUAAAGUGGGUCUCGUGAGACUUUUGCAUGUACCUUAUGAAUAAGGACCGGCUAAUUCCGUG
rnacentral:rRNA from 1 species